rnacentral:snRNA from 1 species
AGCUUUGCGCAGUGACAGUACGGUAGCCAAUGAGGUUUAUCCGAGGCGCGAUUAUUGCUAAUUAAAAUGCUCAGGUAACUAACUGACUAACAAAAAACAUUUGGGAAACUAUAUUUUCAUUAGC